GCUCCGGUAGUGUAGCCAGGUCAACUAAGGCCUAAAGCACAGCGGCCUUUCGAGCCGCUAACGCGGGUUCAAAUCCCGCCCGGAGCA
rnacentral:tRNA from 1 species